rnacentral:rRNA from 1 species
GCAACCCAUAAAAAAAAAAAAAAAAAAAAGAAAAGAAAAUUCUCGAUCUUAUAAAGUAUUUUAUAAAAAAUAAGCAAUUUUAAUAAACCGCAAGGGCCAAUCCUCAAGCUAUCUAAAGAAGUGAUAAUCACAUGUCCCUUUUGCAUCAUGGAGAAGCAACAAAACCUUAGCAAUCCACACUCCCGAAUGAUUAUGAGCUACUAAGCUUUCAAAAUUAAUGUUUCAUAAUUAAUAUAGUAAUUUUUAGUAGAAGUAACAAGCCUUUCAUAUAAUCAUAUAGCUGGUUUUUCUCUAAAAGCAUCACAGUGCUAGCCCAUAGCCAAACAAUACUUCUUUACAUUAUGAGGCUUACUUUACUGAGGAUUAGCUCAGUAAAGCCUAUAGAAAUAUUUUAAGCAAUAUUACCAUAAGUAGGCCUAAAAGCAGCCACCCAAUAACGUUUUAGUUACUGGAACUAAAAUUUAAUAUUAAAGUCUAUUUAAUACUUCUAAACCUAAAGAAAUUUAACAAAAAACCUAUUUGUUAUUAAACAGGCAUUCUAUUAGUAUUAAUAUGUAAAAUGUUUAACACUAAUAAAAGUAUUAAACCAUAAACUUACUAUAUACCCACACAUAUAUAAAGUGAACUCGGCAAAUUAGUUCCCUGCCUGUUUACCAAAAACAUCGUCUUUUGAAUCCCCUAAAUAAAAGAUCAUGCCUGCCCAGUGAAAUUUUAAACGGCCGCGUUAGCGUGAGCGUGCUAAGGUAGCGUAAUAAUUAGCCUUUUAAUUGGAGGCCAGUGAAUGGCAAGACUAGGAACACCUUUACUUUAUAUAUAAAAAAAAUUUUUCAUCUAAGUGAAAAGACUUAGAUAAUAAAGGAAGACGAAAAGACCCCGCGGAGCUUUACCUCUUCUUGUACUUCUGUUCACACACUUAAAUGUAUUAGAGGUUUGAUUGGGGCAAUCUUGGAACCAGCAAAGCUUCCAAUAUGUUAAAUAAUCCUAUUCAAAACUUAAUAAGGACCAAAAAGAAGCUACCCCGGGGAUAACAGCGUAAUCCAAUUUAAGAGUACAUAUCGAAAGUUGGGUUUGCGACCUCGAUGUUGGCUUAAGGUUAUCCACAUUAGUGCAACCGCUAUGUUAGGAUAGUCUGUUCGACUAUUAUACCCUUACACGAGCUGAGUUAAGACCGGCGCAAGCUAGGUUGGUUUCUAUCUCCUUUAAUAAAACAUCUUCUUGAUUGUACGAAAGGACCUCAAGAGAUGCAACUUUAAAAAGCAUUUUUAAUAAGUUUUUAUUAACUAAU